rnacentral:rRNA from 1 species
UACAGAGGUCUCAAGCGUUGUUCGGAUUCAUUGGGCGUAAAGGGUGCGUAGGCGGCGCGGUAAGUCGGGUGUGAAAUCUCGGAGCUUAACUCCGAAACUGCAUUCGAUACUGCCGUGCUUGAGGACUGGAGAGGAGACUGGAAUUUACGGUGUAGCGGUGAAAUGCGCAGAUAUCGGGAGGAACACCAGUGGCGAAGGCGACUACCUGGCCCAUUCUUGACGCUGAGGCGGCGAAAAGC